rnacentral:rRNA from 1 species
AGAGCGCAGGGUGGAUGCCUUGGCACUAAGAGCCGAAGAAAGACGUGAUAAGCUGCGAAAAGCUGCGGGGAGAUGCAAAUAAUCCUUGAUCCGCAGAUGUCUGAAUGGGGAAACCCGGUACGAAGAACUCGUAUCAUCCAUACGCCAAUCCAUAACGUAUGGAGGGGAACCCGGUGAACUGAAACAUCUAAGUAGCCGGAGGAAGAGAAAGAAACAUCGAUUUUGUUAGUAGCGGCGAGCGAAAGCGAAAGAGGCCAAACCGGAGUGCGUGCACUCCGGGGUUCGGACCGCAUUUAAGAUUCAGUGAUUCUAGCAGAAAGGUUUGGGAAAGCCUGCCGGAGAGGGUGAAAGCCCCGUAAGCGAAAGGAAAACUGACUGAGCGGGAUCCAGAGUACAUCGAGACACGAGAAACCUUGAUGGAAUAAGCGGGGACCACCCCGUAAGCCUAAAUACUACUUAGUGACCGAUAGCGCAUAGUACUGUGAAGGAAAGGUGAAAAGGACCCCGGGAGGGGAGUGAAAGAGAACCUGAAACCCUGUGUUUACAAGCUGUGGAAGUUCUUUAAAUGAACAACCGCGUACUUUUUGUAGAACGGUCCGGCGAGUUGCGGAUACUGGCAAGGUUAAGCACUUAAGGUGCGGAGCCGAAGGGAUACCAAGUCUUAACAGGGCGUUAAGUCAGUAUACGCAGACCCGAAACCGGGUGAUCUAUCCAUGUCCAGGUUGAAGUUGUCGUAAAAGACAAUGGAGGACCGAAGCCACAUCCGUUGAAAAGGGUGGGCAUGAGGUGUGGAUAGGGGAGAAAUUCCAAUCGAACCCGGAGAUAGCUGGUUCUCCUCGAAAUAGCUUUAGGGCUAGCCUCGAUUUAGUCUUAUGGAGGUAGAGCACUGAAUUUCCGCGGGGGCGUCAAAGCUUACCAAAGAAUAUCAAACUCCGAAUGCCAUGUAGAUGAUGAUCGGGAGUCAGACUGCACGAGAUAAGUUGGGCAGUCAAAAGGGAAAGAGCCCAGACCACCGGCUAAGGUCCCAAAGUGCGUGUUAAGUGGAAAAGGAUGUGGGAAUUCGAAGACAACUAGGAUGUUGGCUCAGAAGCAGCCAUACAUUCAAAGAGUGCGUAACAGCUCACUAGUCGAGAGUUCCUGCGCCGAAAAUGUCCGGGGCUGAAACACGACACCGAAGCCGUGGACUCGCAAUGCGAGUGGUAGAGGAGCAUUCUUAAAACCGACGAAGCUGUACCGUAAGGAGCAGUGGAGGGAUAAGAAGAGAGAAUGCCGGAAUGAGUAGCGAGAGAAAGGUGGGAAUCCUUUCGGCCGAAUAUCUAAGGUUUCCAGAGUAAAGCUGAUCUGCUCUGGGUAAGUCGGGGCCUAAGCACAGGUCGCAAGACGUAAGCGAUGGAUAACAGGUUUAGAUUCCUGUACCACGCAUUAUCAGAACUGUAGGGACGCAUGUGGAAAGCACGGGCCGGGAAUGGAAAGACCGGUACAAGCGGGGUAGGUGUACAAUAGGCAAAUCCGUUGUAUAAUCCGAAGACGUGAUGUGGAGCGAAAUAAAGUAGCAAAGCGUGUGAGCCAUGUGCCGAGAAAAGCUGCUAUUGUGUAAUGCGUGCCCGUACCGUAAACCGACACAGGUGGAUGAGGAGAGAAUCCUAAGGCCGACGGAAGAAGCAUUGUUAAGGAAUUCGGCAAAAUGACCCCGUAACUUCGGGAGAAGGGGUGCCUGCGAGAGCAGGCCGCAGAGAAUAGGCUCAAGCAACUGUUUAGCAAAAACACAGGUCUAUGCGAAACCGAAAGGUGAAGUAUAUGGGCUGACGCCUGCCCGGUGCUGGAAGGUUAAGAGGAGAGGUUAGCGUAAGCGAAGCUUUGAAUUUAAGCCCCAGUAAACGGCGGCCGUAACUAUAACGGUCCUAAGGUAGCGAAAUUCCUUGUCGGGUAAGUUCCGACCCGCACGAAAGGCGUAAUGAUUUGAGCACUGUCUCGACAAUGCAUCCGGUGAAAUUGAAGUACCAGUGAAGAUGCUGGUUACCCGCGCCAGGACGGAAAGACCCCAUGGAGCUUUACUCCAGUUUGAUACUGGGAUUCGGUACUGCAUGUACAGGAUAGGUGGGAGACGAAGAAGGAUGGACGCCAGUCUGUCCGGAGUCGCUGUUGGGAUACCACCCCUGUAGUACUGGGUUUCUAACCAGUUGCCAUGAACUGGCAAUGGGACAAUGUCAGGCGGGGAGUUUGACUGGGGCGGUCGCCUCCGAAAGGGUAUCGGAGGCGCUCAAAGGUUCCCUCAGAAUGGUUGGAAACCAUUCGAAGAGUGCAAAGGCAGAAGGGAGCUUGACUGCGACACCGACGG